UCUGUGCUCUGCCCGCCACGGGUAUCGAAACCCGGAUUCUAGACAUACCGCUGUGCCACUGGGGGGCAAUUUCACUUGAACUAUAAGUUUAGCACGUCCUGAAGGAUCGUCUCUAGGUGACCUUUUUGAAUGCCUAUAAAUUCGGGCUGGGCACUGUCCAACGACUGAGUUACCUGCUCAUUUUAACAUCUUAUUCAACUCUUGAUUGACUAUUUAUCGGGUGGUGCAAAGUAGUAUUCAGCUGUUUCAAGGCUUGAUCCACAAAUAUGUAUCAAUACAUUAUUGGGUUAU